AUCACUUCUUGGCCUUCUGGCUAAGAUCAAGUGUAGUAUCUGUUCUUAUCAGUUUAAUAUCUGACUAUAGAAAUCACCUACUAAGUAGCAAUAAUCUUACCAAAAUUACAACUUCC
ensembl:snRNA U2 U2 spliceosomal RNA